UCCUCUGAAGAUCCUUGUAGCAUCCAAGCCUGGAAGAGCGAGCGAGGGGGGAGAGAGGAGCGAGGGAAAGAGACAGGGACGCAGAGGGAGAGGAGGCAGCGCUGUGGCAGGCGAGGUGUGGCUGGUUAGAGCAUCUUGGUCGGAGAGCCUGGCCCGGAGCAUCUCCUGCCUCCCUCCCUGCCUCUUCUCCGGGCUGUCUGUCCGGGGCGGGUAAGGCGAGCUCACUGCGGACCAUGCCCCUCCGCCGGCACAGGCUGGGCCACACUGGACAUUCACCAUAACUGGAGCUCCCCCACCCCACCCUCUCCUCCGACACCUUCGCCCACUUCCCUCCUCCUCCCUGCUGCGGCUGCUGCCUCCUCCGCGGGGACCUGCUAGACUGAUGGGCUGCAUAGGAUCCAGGACUGUAGGGAAUGAGGUGAUUGCAGUGGACUGGAAGGGAUUGAAAGAUGUGGAUCAGAUCAAUAUGGACAGCACCAGCUCAUUGCAUGGCAGCAGCAUCCACCGACCCUCCACUGAGCAAACCCGGACAGAUUUCUCCUGGGAUGGUAUUAAUCUUUCCAUGGAAGACACAACCUCCAUUCUCCCCAAGCUGAAGCGGAACUCCAAUGCUUAUGGAAUCGGGGCUCUGGCUAAGUCGUCUUUCUCUGGCCCCUUAGGGAUAUCCCGCAGCAUGAAGGAUCACGUCACAAAGCCAACGGCUAUGGGACAGGGUCGUGUAGCUCACAUGAUUGAGUGGCAAGGCUGGGGCAAAGGUAACAGCCAGCAACAACAGCACACACAUGAGGCGGUGCGCAAGGAUGCUGAUGCCUACUCAGACCUGAGCGACGGUGAGAAGGAGGCCCGAUUCCUUGCAGGGGUGAUGGAGCAGUUCGCCAUCUCUGAGGCCACUCUCAUGGCCUGGUCCUCCAUGGAUGGUGAGGAUGUGAGUGUCAACUCCAACCAGGAGAACCCAGCAGGCAACUACAGUGAGAACUACCAGGAGCUGAUGGAGAACCAGGAUCACAUGGCCCAGACACAGUAUGACAGCUGGCCCCACUCCUAUGUUUCUCAGGGCAUGUAUUGCCUGGGCUCCUCUGAUGCUUGGGAGACCAGUGACCAAUCCCUCAUUGCUUCCCCGGCUACUGGCUCCUACCUAGGCCAGAACUUUGAGGAGACCCAGUCCAACCUGCAGGAGAGCACAUUGAUUCAGAGUAGCCUCAUCCAGCAGCAUCAGAUGCAGCAGCAGCAACCACAGGCCUUGCUCCAGAACCCAGGGCUCGUUGACAUGUGGCCCCCUCAGACUGCUGCAGGGGGUGGUGGUGGGGCUGAAUCCAGCACAUACAUGGGGGUGCACACAGAGGAGGAAGGGAACCCACUACUGGAGAAGGCCCCGCUGCUAAACAAGAAGACCUCUCCAGAGGAGGACGAUGCUGUAUGCCGGGACCUGGAGUCACUGUCACCUCGGGAGGAGCUGGAACAUGCCGCACUCAGCCGCAAGGUCUCAGAUGUCACCUCAUCUGGGGUGCAAUCCUUUGAUGAGGAGGAGGGGGAAGCAAACAAUUGAUGCUGCCAGUGAGGAAUCUUUCACCAUUACUAAAUGGGAGGGGAGGGGGGAAUGAAAUGACAGGAAAACCUCUCCCCAGGUUCCCAGGCGGACACAUCUUUCAUUCAGACAUUUAAUUUUUAACAAAAGGGAAGUAAAGGACUGGAGGUGUUUGACAGGGGCGGAGCCCUCCUUGCCCACCAUCAUGGACUGAUCCCCUGGCCCCACUGCUCUGGACAGCAUGCUGGGGGCUCAGGGAACUCUGGACUUUAAAUCUUUUUGAUACAAGGGUUUGGCUCUGGAUUCAGACUGCUCAGAUGCUGGGAUGUGGCUCCCAAGAUACAAACAGUGGCUUGAUACAAGGAUGUGGCUGUAUGGAUAGGAUCUAUCUUGGCAGAAUGGAUGUUGUUUUGGGGCUACAAUCUGCUUUGAUCCAUGGGAUAUGUGAAUACAGAGUCUGUUUUGAACAGGGCACAAGACUGUGCAGAUAUAGGUUGCACUGAUACAGGGAUUGUGGCUGAUAUACAGGGUAAGGCUGUAUGGAUAUAGCCACUGCACUAAUAGGAUGGAUGAGCUAUAUGGAUAAAUACUGUACAGUUCUUUGAUAUGAGAACCAAGGCUCUGUGGAUACAGACUGUACUGUGGUAUGGAAGGUGUGGCUCUGUGGAUUCGGGAUGUGCUCUGGGAGGCCAGGAACAGCAGGAACAAACAGUAUCACCAUUUUCCAGUUUAUAUUGGAUUUUUGUUGCUGUUUCUUUUUCUACAGGUUUAUAUUGCCGAGUACUGGUUCUAAACACAGUGGUUAACAAAGGGAAUGGCCUAUGGGCUGACCACCACUGACCAUAACUGCCAUACCAUUCUCAGUAUCCCCGAUCCUUCUGUGGUGCCAAAUGUGGAUGGAGGAAAGGGGGUGGGAGGGAAACUUUUCUCCUCCCUCCUAUUCAUUUCUCUUUCCUGCUUUACAUUUUCUGUUUUUUCUUGACAAUGUAAAUAUUCCUUGGCACUGUUUUCUUUUUUCUCAUUCCUCCCAUCUCUAUUUCAGGGGUGGGGAAGGCUGGGUUUUGGGGGAUUUUCCCCAUUUGUACGGGUUCUAUAUUUUUGUUAACAAAGUUUAUGAUUCAUGGACUGAUGGGGUUUUGAUUCCAUGUGAUUCCCCUUCUUGUUGCUGCAGACAUACUACAGGAGAAGGGACUUUAAAUAGGUAUUAACCAAUUGUUUCCCCUCUGCUCUUGCUAGGGAAUAAACAGGAGACAAAAAUUGUGUGGGGGCAAUCAUUGUUCAGAUGUUCAGAUAGCAGAACAUGACCACCAGGGGAUGGUAGAAGUGUUGGGUGUUCACUGAAAUGUGGGCAGUGUGUGAGCAAAUUGCAUCCCUCCAACAAAGAAGUCCCACCAAAGGGUGAGUUAAGGGUGGGGGACUGGAUAAAUGAACCAAGCUGGAGAUUGCCCUCUUUCUGCACUACCCCGGAGGCAUCUCUUCCCCACUUGCUCCAAGCCAGAGCCACUAUUUUCAACUGCAAUUCAGAUGUUUGUCUCCUCUCUGUCUUCUCCUCCCUGAUGGUAGAAUUGAUAUUGCUGCUUGCAGGAUGGGAGAGUGAGGCAUGUUCCUCUCCUGAUCCAGGUUUGGAACCCAACCCAUGUAGCAGGGAAGGAGUAUGUAUCAGGAGAGGAGAAUGUGGCAGGAAUAUUAUCCAGGAGGCUAGGAGCUGAGACAGCCACAGGAAAACAGAAGUGGAUCAUGUCCAGGAGUCAAGAGGAGGGUGAAUUAUGGAGCCUUGGAGAUGGUAUUUCCGCUCACACACCUUUCCUACCAGCAAUUGGGAUUAUAGGGAACUCCACAGAGAACUUCUGAGUCUCUCUGGCAAAGCUCCAUUUCAAGAGGAUCUGUCUUCCCGCUCCACUGCACCUCUAAUGGAAACGCCACUGGGAGGAGUGUUUGGGAGGAUUAUGUGAGGCUGACGCUUGGGGGUGGAUAUGAGACAAAAGCAUUUGUUACCACCUCUUUGUCCCCAUUUCUUUGGAGCUUCCCUGUCUUUCCCAGGGGAGGUUGCUCCUUUCGUGGGUGAUGAGGUUUCAAUAUCUACUUAAAUAUGUUUACACGUUCUGGUACCAACCUCCCAAGGUUGAGAAGGUUGGCUAAAGCACCUCCCAAAAUCCCGGGAGGACUCAUUAUCCUGAGUUUAUCUGAACUGCUUUGGUUUGGCUGCUACAUGGAUUGGGGAAAUCUCACUAGCAAGAACAGAGAAACUGGGAAAGUGCAUGGGCAGGAAAACUGAAGGUGUGUUUCUUUGGGGUGUUUCUUUCGGGGGGAAGGUUUGAUAAGCCUGCUUCUUAUUUUUUCCCAACCAUUCUGCCUCCAAGGUCCUAGCCAGGACCAACCGAUGUUUACAGUAAUUAUAUUUCAGUGUAUCUUCAAAUGUAUCCUGCUUCCACCUUGUCAUUCACAGGACCAGGACAAGGGGGUCAUCUUGGUUAGGUCUAUUUUUUUUAAUGCAGACAAGUUGUGCAUUUGGUAAGAUGUGUGACAAAUGUAUGAGGUGCAUUUUCUCCAUAGGAGAGAAGUGACAGAGGGACACACAUUACAUGGAAAACAAAGACUAAAAAAGAAAAAGAAAAGAAAUGUACCUUAUGAAAAUCCCACAGAAUGUAAUAGCAAAUGAAAACCUUCCCACAGAGUUUUCUGACCUCUGGAGAAUUAUACUUCUGCUACAGAAUUCUAUAGCACAGUUUCCAAAAGCUUAUAGAUGGGAUCUCAUUGUCUAUUAAAUCCUACAGGUGUUUAAAGUAAUUUCUACAGAAACGUAUUAUUUUCACGUUAUUAAAUUCUAUAAGAUUUUUCAUAAAGAUCUUGCUUUUUUGCAAAUAAAGAUCUUACCUUUUUAAAAAACAACAACACUUUCCGCUGGUGUCCCCACCAUCCAAGAACACAUAUGCGUUUCUCGUUGCCAGGAAUCUGACUGGACACAGCAUUCCCAUGGCCUCCAACUAUUGCCUAAGUGAGGCCCAAAUGGACAAUAUUAAUAACAAACUGAUAGGUCACUUUGAGUCUCCUGCAAAAUGUUAUUCUACCUUAAAAAGUGACUGUAUAAAAAUGGGCUUUCCUUAUGCAACAGGCCUGCACCCUGCCUGUAUCCAGAAUCAGAUCUUCUCACGUUGCUAAGGUUUUCAGAAGUGACACAUGGUUCUGGAUUCAUCAGUUUUUGGGGGCCCAAUUUCAGAUGCCUUAAGGCUCCCUGAUUUUCGGCACUUUCUGAAAAUCAGGUCUACUGAAAGUAUCCAAAAACAGAGGAAUGCAAAGUUACUAGUCCCUUUUGAAAAUCUUGGCCCUAGAUUUUGACUUGCUUUUUAUUCAAAUUAUCUCUGCAGAGCCAGCCUAGCUCAGAAAGAGGGUAAUGGAACCUAUUCCUUCUUGUGUAGCAUCUGCAGAAUUGUUUACUAUGUUCUAAUUAGUCACACCUGUGCAAACCUCCUGAAGGCCAUGGGGUUGCCACAGGUGUCAUUGGGGGCACAAUUUGAAUUGCAGAUCCUUUAUUCUAGGGGAUGAUCUGGAAAGAGUCCAACUUGACUCUCAGAGCCCAGGCUGAGUUUGCAGGGCUGACAGAAACAAAUAUCUUUUUAUUUGUCAAGUAAGUUUGAUCUGGAGUCGUCACUUGUGAACAGAGCUGCACUCAUGAAAUAUUUCUAAAAUUCCUUGAAGCUGUGUAGCUAGAGGGCUCCCUGCCUUUGUUUGCUUUCCGCCGUAAAGCCAUUAAGUCUUUAGCAGGAGCCAUGACUUCUGUUCUUUGCUGAACAGAGAAGUGUUUCUUUAAAUAUGGGUGACUCUAGUAGUUGAAUCAGCUCUCAGACAGACAGACCUCUUUCUCACUCCUGUGCCCUCUACUGUCACCAUCUGUCCAGUUCACAUUACUGUUGUUAAACCUACAAGUUGUUCGCAGGUUUGGAGUCUUUACCUCCAGGGCACCAGUUCCAGUGCCUGGCUCAGGGGAAUCAUGAAGUGAGAUAUAGGGUCUUUCAUCUCUAAAGCACAAUUUUCAAUUUGGCUCCAGGCUGGGGGAACUGGCUGGGUGAAUGAGACAAGGGGAAGGGGCCAUUCAUCUGUAGGGCAUCAGUUCUGAUACAUCCUUCGGUCUGGGGAAAUGGCUCAGGGAGUUAAGGAAAGGCCACAGAUCUUACCACUCCUAGGUGACUGGUUCCAAUCUGUUCCUACUUUGUAGUGACUGACAGUCAUUCCCAUCUGGCAGCUCUUCAGUUUCCAUGUGAACUGACAGAUCUCAGGCAGUGGCUAGUCACCCUUGCCAAUUCCACCCCUUUUCUUUGACUACGCUGGGACUUCAGAGCGGACAGGGAAAGGUAAGCACCACUGAUAAGUCCUGUCCUGUGAUUGUAGGGCAGGAGCAAGUCUGUGAGAAGGACUGGGGACUGUGGUGGGCUCCUGGGGUGAGACAGCUUCUGCAGCCAGGGAACAUGCCUGUUUUCAUGCCAGUUCCAAGGUGACUUGAGAGUUGGAAUGGCCCUGAGAUUUAUAGACUGGCCACAUGUGUGGCUAAAGCCUGGACCAUCCUUACUGUGUCCAGCAAAUGGAAAUUGUCUGUGGAGCCGGCAGGACAGCCAGGGGAAAGGAAACUAUUUUCUAAAUCUGAAAAGGUGUGUGUGUUGGGGGGAGGGGUUAAUCACAGAAUAAGAAAGAGAUUCUUCCAAUCUGGUGUAGCUCAAGUGCUGUUACAGAGCUUGGUACUGAAUAAAUAGGCUUGGCAGAAUUAGAUUUUUAAUAUAUAAUUUUGAUGGAUAAUAUCAAUAUUAUUUUUAAGCAUUUUUUCUAGUUUUAUCUAUUUCAGUUUUCACAGUUGCAUGAAAUUAUGGGUGGGUCAGACAAUGAUUAUUUAAUGACAGAUGUUGAGAUUCAAAAAGUUAUAUAGCUUCAUAAGUGUUAAAACACAAAUUGUCAACAUGUCAUGUUAAAAUAUACAAAGUAAAUAUCUUUAGAUCAAACUCAAAGUUCUCAAGCAGCAUUUUUCUUACCUUGCCUAGCUGUAAAUUUCAUUUAUUGUCAAUGGAAAUAUUUUUUCAUUAGUUUUUGUGUGUGUGUACAGUGAAAUCAGCGUUUACUGACCGUUACCAAUAAAAAUCUAAUCCUUCCAAGCCUAUGCAUAGGCCAUCUAGCUUGCCCCUCUGGAAGACAAGGAGGAAGAGAGCGAUUUCUCCACACUCAAGAAGUUACCUACUUCUUUCCUUGUCUCCCCUGAACAGCCAGAAUACUAUAUUCCUCCUCCUGUGGGCACCAGCCAGCAACUGUUCCAAGUAAGAGCCCAAUUCUGCUCCAACUGAAGUCAGCUGGGACUUUGCCUUUCAUGGGAACAGGCUGAGGCCCUGAAUCACCAGAGUCAGUCCCAUUUGGCUUAAAUGUCAGAUUAAUUGUCCUGACAGAGGAAAAGAUAAGUAAAAAGUAAACACCCUUCAGUACUCUGGAGAGUAGCGCAGGCUGGCAUUAAGCUUAGCUGCAUAAUCUGGAAAGGUAUCACCUCAGCCUUCCCAUGUAAGGAGAAGGUUCUUGCUCUCUCACAGCCUAGAACUGUUUCUUCCUGCCAGCUCAGACUAUCUCACACUAGCUGGUAUGAGGGAAAAUUUCUCCAUCUCACCCCACUUUGGAUUUUCCUCAUUUUCAGACAUUUCUAAACAAUGGGAAAUGUCAUUUUAAACUGCUGUUACCAAAAGAGCCUUCCAAAUACAGCAAUCACCAGUGAUCUGCAAUCAGCAUAUUUAAUGCUGUCUUGAGAGAAGUGGAGAGGAAUUAACAUUCUCUGUUUAGCUGGAGCACAGAAGAGGGAGUCUGACAGGGAUGUGCUGUGCCUUAACUCAGGGAAGGGAAGGAUAAACAGAGCGAUAUGCAGAAUAUGGAUUUGGUGUGCACCCAUUAGAUAGCACAGCAGAGGCAGUGUCUGUUAUGAAUGGAGCCAGAUGGGGCCCUCUUUCAUAUCACAGUCGCUCCCCAGGUGAGAUGGAUAGGGCUGGAUCUGUAGGAGAGUGACAGACAUCUGUGCCAGAUCAGUAUCUUUCUGCCUCUCUCCCCAGCACAGUGUUUCUCGCUAUGCAGAAUGUCUGGCCCCUUGCUGGAGAUCACAGGCCCCUGCCAGCACAGACAGCUCUCUAGGUUUGUUGGGAAGUGAUACAGACCACAUGGUCACUGUGUUACCAGCACAGAUAUGGCAGGAUCUGCAUUGGAGCAUAGAGACCAUCUGGGUUUUUGUUAUAUAUCUGGCUCUUCCUAGCACAGACAGUACAUGUACAGGUGUGUGUGAUGUGUACCAGUUAGACCUUUUUUGGACAUUUUGUCCUUCCCUUGUAUGGAUAUGAAUAGGUCUGUACAAGAGUAAUAUGGACCAGCUGGGGUUGUGUAUUGUAUUUCCCCAGCACAGACAGAUCUGGAUUCGAAUGGAAGCAAUGUAACCAGGCCAGGCCCCGGUUUUGGACAAUAUUUCCACCCAGACAAUAGGAUUUCUCCUGGAAAUGUAGGGACUGACAGGUUAUCUGUUCAGUCAUGAAUGUUGCUCCUCAGGGCAGUCAACAAGGAACCUGCCUGUUCUAGAAUGAUGGUAAGGGCUCCUGGUUAGGCUAAGUGGUACUCUUAAGAAGGGAGAGUUGCUAUCUUAUCACUGGGUGGGUGGGAAUUCAGCCUCCAUUUCCACCUUGCACUGAGUCAAUGCUCAGUGUCUUCAGAAAUCUAGUUUUGGUUCUGCUCCUCCCAAGGGUACAACUAGUGUCCAUCCUGUCAGGCAAAGUUCUUCUCCACCCAGGAGAAAAGUCAUGCAUUGACAGUUAAUUCCAGGAUAACACAGGCAUCCAGUCCAGGUUCACCUGAACCCCAAAGCCCUUUGCAGGAGGGAUAGAAAACCAGUAGAAGCAUUUUCCCUUGUUGCCCUGCUCCCUUUCUAGAGGUCAUAAAUCCCAUUCAGGUUCUUGACCUAGAUGCUGUGCCCAGUCCAUUCCAGGCAAGCACAGGCAUCCACUCCACCUCCAUCCAGUUCCCGUGUGGUGCGCAGAUGAGCAGUGUGAAAAGCAGAAACAGCUUUGCAGGUGUAUUUUGUUUGUUGAUUUCUGUUUAUCUUCUCUGGUUUUGUGGGUGUCUUCCAUGAUUGGGGUAGUCCCCAAUGGGUCCCCGGGAUCCUCCAAACUACAGAAUGAGCAUCAAAAAUCAUUUUACAAUGAGCAGGACUUUUUUAAAAAGCUCUUUUUGGGGUUGGGUGGGUAAGGGCUGGGGAGUGGGAGGUACAGUGAUCUCUGGGUGGUAUGGGUGGGUGUCUAUUGGUGGGUGGGAGAAUGGGGAGUGGAGUCUUGAAGCAUGUUUAAAAGCAACCAAAGGUUUGGGGCUUAAGAUUUUGUAUUCUCAACAUAUGAAACUGCUAUAGCAUAAGGGGACAGGACAAGGAGGGGUUGUAGCUGGGCAAUGUAAAGACCCUCUUCCCCAGCUGUGUGUGAUUUUGUGCGGGACUGAAUAGAGAUUCUUUUCAUCCCUCAAGGAUGCAUUUUGUGGAGGACAAUGGCUCUUCAUGGGGAAAGAAAGAGCAGGAAGAGAAGGGGGUCUGUCAUUGAAACCCUCCUACCCCUGCCACCCCCAAAUAAACAAAAACAAAACUGAUUUGCCUUCGGUCUUCCCGGUCCAAAACUUCUUUGCCUGAAAUUUUUUCGCUGGUUAUUCUUUGCAUGUUUUGAUAAUGUGACUUAUGAGAAAAAAAUAUAUAUAGAGAUAUAGAUAUAAACUAUACAUACAGACAUAGGAAACUAUAUGGCACUACACACGUCCAUACCUAUGUGUGGCAGCAGCCACUGAAAAAGGAGACGAUGUAGGCCAAAAUGGCAUGUACAGUCCUUAUAGAGUUAUUAUUAAACAGAAUGUGGUCUUGCCA